CACGUAGGGGGCAAGCGUUGUCCGGAUUUAUUGGGCGUAAAGAGCUCGUAGGCGGUUCGGUAAGUCGGGUGUGAAACCUCCAGGCUCAACCUGGAGACGCCACCCGAUACUGCUGUGACUAGAGUCCGGUAGGGGAGCGUGGAAUUCCUGGUGUAGCGGUGAAAUGCGCAGAUAUCGGGAAGAACACCUGUGGCGAAGGCGGUUCUCUGGGACGGUACUGACGCUGAGACGCGAAAGCGUGGGGAGCGAACAGG
rnacentral:rRNA from 1 species